CCUACGGGUAGCAGCAGUGAGGAAUAUUGGUCAAUGGACGAGAGUCUGAACCAGCCAAGUAGCGUGAAGGAUGAAUGCCCUAUGGGUUGUAAACUUCUUUUAUAUGGGAAUAAAACGUUCCACGUGUGGGAUUUUGUAUGUACCAUAUGAAUAAGGAUCGGCUAACUCCGUGCCAGCAGCCGCGGUAAUACGGAGGAUCCGAGCGUUAUCCGGAUUUAUUGGGUUUAAAGGGAGCGUAGGUGGAUUGUUAAGUCAGUUGUGAAAGUUUGCGGCUCAACCGUAAAAUUGCAGUUGAAACUGGCAGUCUUGAGUACAGUAGAGGUGGGCGGAAUUCGUGGUGUAGCGGUGAAAUGCUUAGAUAUCACGAAGAACUCCGAUUGCGAAGGCAGUUCACUGGACUGCAACUGACACUGAGGCUCGAAAGUGUGGGUAUCAAACAGGAUUAGAUACCCCUGUAGUC
rnacentral:rRNA from 1 species